rnacentral:lncRNA from 1 species
UGUAUUUUGAGAAGAAGAAUCUUCUAUUUAUAGAAAUCCAAAACUUAUCCUCCAAGAAAGAGUUAAGCAAUUAUGAAAGAGAUUAUUUCCUGAAAAAUAAGAAAAUAUUUUCAAAUUAAAAUACAAUUAUGGCAGAACUCAAAUAAAAUAAGAAAUUCUGGAUAAAUUCUAAAACAAAAAAAAAGUAUACAUUUUUUUUUCUCAUGCUUAGAAAGUACAGACACCAAAUUUGAGGACAAAAAUUCUACUCACAACUUCCGAGAAGUAGCAAAGGAGACCCAAUGAAGUAAACGGGCUGGCUGAUGGAGACACAUGAAUUAGACUCAUCCGUGACCUAGACAACACACAACCCUCUAUGGCCCAUGGCUCGGACGUGUUUUUUCUCUCUCGUUAAAAAGUUAAAAUUACGUGUUAGAUAAUUUUUUUUUUACACUAUCAAUGUGGAUGAUAAUAGUGACAUAUUACUCUCUUUUUUUCAUUUGAUUACGUGACACUUUUCUAUUCCAAAAAAAAAAAAAAAACUAUAUUCAAUAUGUAAAAAAUAUUUUUUUAUCAAAUUAUCAUUUCAUCAAUAAUGACAUGAAUCUAACCAUGGAAAUAUCAUGCUACAUGCUUAAAAAAAU